CUGACAUGGUAGUUUUCGCUACCCGCGGUGUUCCCGCCCCAGCUCCAGCCCUGCAUUCAGCUCAUGCUUUUUGCAGAAGUGCUUAGCUAAAUUCCUCCUGGCGCUGGAUGGCUCAGCUGCUAAGAGGCCUAUUACAAUAAUACAGUAUUUCAGGCAGCGUGGUUCAUAACCACCUGAACCUCUAGAGCCAGGGAAUCGAGUGUGUUCUGGUCUCGGCCACACCAUCCACGUGCACCCACCCCCAUGGGCACAGCCAUAAUUGAAAAUGGGCCUCCAGUCUGGCUGAAAGCAUGGGUUGGAGUGGGACAGGAGGCUUGACUGCGGUGAUGAGAUCACUAAUAGGAAGUGCCGUCAGAGGCGAUAACUGACGAUAAGUGUGUUCCUGGCUGAUGCAGUCAAGCCCUCACCAGUGACUGGUGUUUAGGAUUAACUCGGUCUGGACUAUAACAACUGCUGUGUUCCAUCUAGGUCGGACAUGGAGAGCGGAGGCUGACUGCCAGCAGCCGUGGCCUCCCAUGAGUGGCAGUUUGGACAGCUCAUCCUGCCAUUUGGGUCCCAUGGAUUGAGCCCAGCUGGGCUAGUUUUGCAGAAGCCUCUUCACUGUCCAUCUUAGGAGCGUCCACUUCCUCAAGUUUUGAGAACUGAGUGCUGGAAUGCAGCCUGUGUUGGCAGCCGCAGUGAAGGAAGAGGCUGUCUCCAGAGGAGUCUCCAGCAGCAGUACCGCCACCAGCCGGGAUUUGGAAAGCAGCCUCUUUUAAGCAUUGUUAUGAAAACAGUCCAGCAUGUGUCUGCUGACCCUGUUCUGUCUGGUCAGGCACAUUUGGUGAUCACCCUACCCCACGGGAGCUUCCACACAUGUCAAUAAAAUGUUUGUGCACAAAGUUGUA